GACGAACGCUGGCGGCGUGCUUAACACAUGCAAGUCGAACGGAAAGGCCCUGCUUUUGUGGGGUGCUCGAGUGGCGAACGGGUGAGUAACACGUGAGUAACCUGCCCUUGACUUUGGGAUAACUUCAGGAAACUGGGGCUAAUACCGGAUAGGAGCUCCUGCUGCAUGGUGGGGGUUGGAAAGUUUCGGCGGUGGGGGAUGGACUCGCGGCUUAUCAGCUUGUUGGUGGGGUAGUGGCUUACCAAGGCUUUGACGGGUAGCCGGCCUGAGAGGGUGACCGGCCACAUUGGGACUGAGAUACGGACCAGACUGCUACGGGAGGCAGCAGUGGGGAAUAUUGCACAAUGGGCGGAAGCCUGAUGCAGCAACGCCGCGUGCGGGAUGACGGCCUUCGGGUUGUAAACCGCUUUCGCCUGUGACGAAGCGGGAGUGACGGUAAUGGGUAAAGAAGCACCGGCUAACUACGUG
rnacentral:rRNA from 1 species